rnacentral:rRNA from 1 species
AACGAACGCUGGCGGCAGGCUUAACACAUGCAAGUCGAACGCACCUUUCGGGGUGAGUGGCCGACGGGUGAGUAACGCGUGGGAAUCUACCCUUCUCUACGGGAUAGCUCCGGGAAACUGGAAUUAAUACCGUAUACGUCCUGAGGGAGAAAGAUUUAUCGGGGAAGGAUGAGCCCGCGUUGGAUUAGCUAGUUGGUGGGGUAAAGGCCUACCAAGGCGACGAUCCAUAGCUGGUCUAAGAGGAUGAUCAGCCACAUUGGGACUGAGACACGGCCCAAACUCCUACGGGAGGCAGCAGUGGGGAAUAUUGGACAAUGGGCGCAAGCCUGAUCCAGCCAUGCCGCGUGAGUGAUGAAGGGCCUAGGGUUGUAAAGCUCUUUCAGUGGGGACGAUAAUGACGGUACCCACAGAAGAAGCCCCGGCUAACUUCGUG